CGCAAAGGGGGCGGGCCACAGGGUAGUUUGAAAGCCCCGCGCGCGUCGCAGGAGCGGUGGUUUGGCCUCUCGCUGGGAUGUCGGUGUUGCGGCCGCUGGACAAGCUGCCUGGCCUGAACACGGCCACCAUCUUGCUGGUGGGCACGGACGAUGUUCUUCUGCAGCAGCUGGCCGGUUCGAUGCUCAAGGAGGACUGCGCCUCGGAGCUCAAGGUCCACUUGGCAAAGUCCCUCCCGCUGCCCUCCGAUGUGAAUCGGCCCCGAAUUGACUUGAUUGUGUUCGUGGUCAACCUUCACAGCCAACACAGCCUCCGGAACGUAGAGGAGUCCCUGCACCACGUGGACUCCACCUUCUUCCUGGGGAAGGUGAGCUUCCUCGCCACAGGUGCUGGGCAGGAGAGCCACUGCAGCGUUCACCGGAACACCGUCGUGAAGCUGGCCCACACCUACCGCAGCCCCCUGCUGUUCUGUGACCUGGAGGUAGAAGGCUUUCGAACCACCAUGGCGCAGCGCCUGGUCCGCAUGCUGCAGAUCUGCGCAGGCCACGUGCCCGGCGUCUCCGCCCUGAACCUGCUGUCCCUGCUGAGGAGCACUGAGAACCCCUCCCUGGAGGACCUGUGAGGGCCACGAGCCCCCGGGGCUGCCUGUCCCCACAGCUUGGUGCCUGACUCAGUAAACAUUCGCUCGCUGUGGCUGGAGAGCAUGCCAGGGUUUGACAGGCAGCUCCCUGGGGACAAAUUCCUCCCUCCCCGGCUGGGCGUGCAGAGCGGGUGGGGGGCCCGGCUGGUGGGACUCCAGCCUCCCUCCCACUCCUGCCCCCACCCCCACAGAGCCCAGUGUCUCCAUCCAUCUGACAUGUGAAUCUCCUCUUAAGACUGCAUGUGAACAAAGGGUCUGUAGCUAAAAAAAGUGAAAAUCCCUGGCCUCGUCUACCACUUUGAUUUCGUAGAUGAGGAGACUGACUCGGAACAAUUAAGAACCGGGCCGGGGGAGUAGGACUCCCGAUCUGACCCCACAUCCUGGCCUCGCUGUUCUUACAGGACCUGGUUGUGGCCUGCUAGAGCCUCGGUUUCCCCAGGUUUAAGUGGAGGUUGUUCUCCUCACCUUGCUGCGUUGUGAGGACUGAGUGCAAUGGCAAAGGUGGAAGCCCGAGGCUGUGCCACGCCUGUGCUCGUUGUGUGCUUGAGUGUAUUUCAUAAUAAGUGUGUUAAUGCUUGGACAGUGCCAGGUUGCUACUCAAUAAGCAGUGAUAAGAACUAUUUGAAAUCACACAGAACUAAGUUCAAAAGCUGGUGUAAAUCCAGGAAUUACACUGUGAAUCCUCAAAUUUGUGAGAAUCGAGAGAAUCUGGCUGGAGGCCUGGUUUCUGGGUUGGCAGCUGGAGAUUGUGCAAUGACUUUUGCUUUCCUUCUCUUUUGGGUCUAAUUAGAAUUUAUGGAAGUGCCGGGGUUAGCAUCCAGAAAUCCCAUCGACCAGGUCUGGGCUCAGGCUGCUCCCCUGUAGCUGGGCAGUCACAAGAGCUGGGGGGAGCGGAGGCCUGGUGGGAGAGGCCUCAGGAUCUUAGAGAGCCAGGGCCUGGCUCCUUCCACCCCACCCUGCUUGUGCCCUGGCCUCCAUCCUCAGGCCUCAGGGCCAUCCCUGCUUGAUGCCCUGGACAGUGGCAGCACCGCAGGGCCCCUGCUUUGACGUCAUCAUGGCAACCGCAGCUCACGGCCUUCACUGAGGAUGGGCCAACCUGGAAACUCGGUGCAGGUGUCAUGAGGGUAGGGCCUGCCUUUCUCUCCUUGGGGUCCUUCCAGUCCUGGCCCAGCGCCCCGCUACCAGCGCUCAAUAAGGGUUGCAGACGCCUGGCUGGCUUCCAGGCAAUCCCCAGGCCCUGCCGAGAACCUCAGCUUUGGGGAUUCCAGUUCAGUCCGGACAUCACCUGAUGUUCUCAGAGCUUCAUGCCUCACUCCUGCCGCCCUCCUGGCAGACCUGUGAGGAUGACAGUGUUUCCUCAUUUCAGUUGGCAUCAGAGGUGUGCCCACACUCACGUAGCUAAUCGGAGGCAGAGCCAACCUCUGGCCCCAGUCCUCUGCUUUAUCUCUCUGGUCUUUUCAUGCGUCUGAUCAUUGAACCAAGGUUUGGGCAUCUCUACUGGGCAGACCCUGAGCUGGGAACACAGAAAUGGUGGACACGUGCCAGAGAAAGCAGCCAUUUGGAAGGGCAGUCCCUUAAAGUGCCAUUCCCACCAGUUGGGGUCCCCUUAGCACAGGAGACUCCAUGGAGGGGAGGGCGGUGAGCAGGGUAAGAGCACUGGGAGGAGGAUGGUGUGGGCCUGGGGCUGGAGCAGGCCUGGGGCCAGCACAGGGGCUGCCCAAGAACUCCCUUGGUAUUUGGGAAGAGAGGCCAGCUUCUAUGCUGAGGUUGGGGGUGGGUCCGGGUUGAAGGAAGAGGCUGGUGGUGAGCAUCAAGGUGUGCAUUGGUCUCAGGGGAUGGGCAGGAUCGGCAGAGGUCCAGAAGGCCCGCCUUCUCCAAGGACCUGCGGCUCCUAGAAACCAGCAUUGUUUUCAGCCCUUCAGGAGCCUGGGCCAUAAAAGGUGGGGCUUUGCAGGGCCAUGUGGAGGGCAAGUGGAGGGUAGGGUAGGUCUUUGGAGCCUGGUGUCCAAGAGUCGUGUGGGCACAGCCUGCCUGCCUGUUCUGGGCUUGUUACUUUUGGCUGGAGACAAGGGGGGGGUCCUUCCCAUACCCCUCCUCUCUCUGCCAGCCAGCAUGGGGCACUCUCUCUCUCCGGUCCUUGUGCCAUGUUUUCUUCACCACCUGGUGCCAUUUAACAAGAGAAAUGGCAUCACAUUCUCCAGCCAAGGACCUGGGAGCCUUCCAAGAGCUGGGGGAGCACGAUGCUGUCACUGCUGCCAGCUCCAGCGAGCUUGGCAGGGGCCCGGCAACUGAGAGGCCGCCUCUGCCUCACAGCAGAGCUGAGCAGCCCCUGAAGGGCUGCUGGCCAUCCUCAGGCCUGCUGCCCCAGCCCGGGAGUGGAGGCCAGUGACACCAUCUAGGAGACAGUUUGACUGAGGGGAGUAAUGGAAGACCAAUCUUUAUGCCCCGUGGAGCUCAGAAUUGGUGCUGGGUGCUGUGGUGGGUGGAGGGAGACGGGAGAGGCUGUGGUGGGCUGCUUACUGAUCCCACGACCUCAGGCGGGUCACUUAUCCUUGAUGUUCCUCAGUUUCCUUGUCUGUAGAAUGGGAUCAGGCUAACUGAUACCCUUUUUCCCAGCUGGUUGUGAGGACUGAGAAUGAGAAGCUGUUAUUUUAAACUUAAAGCAAAUGUAAGACUUCUUAGGCUGGCCAUGGUUACAGGGUGGGCACUUUGAAGGCAAUUACUGAGGGUAGGCACCAUCCCCUAGGCUGCAGAUCCGAGUGGAUGGGCAGCCUGAGGCUCCUGGGGGAGGUGCCCUUCAGCUGGGCCUGGGAGCUGCCGCAUCCAUGCUCUCCAAGAGCACAGAGAAGAGUGGGAUAUUUGGGCCCCCACCGCGUGGAUAAGACAUCGAGGCUGUCAGAGGGGCAGGGCUAGUUCAAAGUUACAGGUUCUUUUGUGCCCUCAGGCCACCUGGUUGUGGGCAGCCAUUGAGCCCAGGCCCAAGGAACUCACAUCUCACAUUCAGACACAAGCGUCCUGGCCCCAGUUUGACGUGUCCCAACCCUGCCCAGGAGGCAGGGCCUCCCUGCGAGGAGAGGGCUCCGCAGCAUGGCACCUGUGUCUCCACCCCUCAGUGAGCAGAAGCAGGGGCAGCCUGGGGCCGUGGCUAAGGCAGGGCAGCCUGGCCACAGAGGGGAAGUGAUGCAGUGGGAAAGGACCCGGCCUUUGAGUCCCACUGACUUGGAGUCUGCGGCCAACAUGCAGUGUGACCUGGGGCGGCUCACUUCCCGUCCCUGAGCCCCACAGCCUGCUCCUCUUGAGAUUCUUGUGGGGCUCAGAAAAACCAAAGUGCCCGCCACCGCACCUGUCCCGUGUAGGCCCUCCACAGACGGUGGCCCCGAGGAUCCUAGAACAGUGCCUGAUGCAUGGCAGGUCUCAGUGUCUGGAGAAUGAAUGGAGGUGUCUGCACAUGGAGUCAGCCUGUGCACUCACACAGGGCCCAAAGCCUGCAGGAGCCCAGAGCCAGCAGCAGCCUUGUCCCUCCUGUGUGGUGCCCUGAAUGAUGCCUGAGGUAGGGGUGGCCCUGGGGAGGUUCCCUGCUCCUCCCCCUCUUCCCCACCCUGGCCUUAUAGCCUCCAUCCACCUUGCACACCAGCAGGCCUGGCCCCCAAGGAAGUGGGGACUCCAUUCCCUCUGGCUGUGGGGCUAAGGAGCUGAGUCUCCUUUCUGACCUCGCAGAGAGGGCGCACGUCCCCUAGCCGAGGGUCAGGCCAAGAGAACUGCUGGGGCUGCUCUGGCCAGCAUCCUCUCGGAGUGCUGGACUACGAGUGUGUGUGUGUGUGUGUGUGUGUGUGUGUGUGUGUGUGUGUAGGGAGAAUGGGGACCAGAGGAGAGGCAAAUGGGGCUUGGGUAAGCCUGGGCAAGGAUUUUAUAACUGCUGCAUGGAAGGGCAUGACCUGCCCUUGUAUAGCCUGGGUUCAGAGGGAGAGGGGCCACUGGGCUCUCUGGCCUGACCAGGAUUUUGUGCUGAUCUUCCUGCCUCUCCCACUCCGUCCCAGUGUCCCGAGGCCCAACAUCAAAUCCUUCCCACUCUCCCCGGUGAGGGGGACUUUUGGCAGUGUCCUGUAUGUCAGAGCUAAAUACACAAGAAAGGCAAAGGGAAUCAUUACUUUGGGGGCUCCAGGCUGCUAUGACAAAACAAGAUGAAGUGACAGAGGCAACAGAAGCACUCAGGACAGGCCAGGGUUGGGGGGUUAGGGACAGGCCACCAGGACAAUUCACACCAUGGGGCCCCCUCUACUAAACGCAAACCCUGCCUUUCUGUAUGCACGUACACGAGAAUGUAAAAGCGAAAUAAUAAGACUGGGAUGAAAGACUGAAGCAAAAAGAGACUCCCUCUGGGGAUGGGAGGGAAAGGCCACUGCUUACUCACAGAUUUCUGUAUUGUUGGAGGGUUUUUUCACAAGACUAUGUUCAGGUAUUACUCACAAAAUUACAAAU